rnacentral:rRNA from 1 species
UACGUAGGUGGCAAGCGUUGUUCGGAUUUAUUGGGCGUAAAGCGAGCGCAGACGGUUCCUUAAGCCUGAUGCGAAAUCCCCCGGCUCAACCGGGGAACGUCAUUUGGAACUGGGGGACUUGAGUGCGGAAGAGGGGAGUGGAAUUCCAUGUGUAGCGGUGGAAUGCGUAGAUAUGUGGAGGAACACCAGUGGCGAAGGCGGCAUUCUGGUCUGUUACUGACGCUCAUGCUCGAAAGCGUGGGGAGCAAACAGG